rnacentral:rRNA from 1 species
ACAGAGGGUGCAAGCGUUAGUCGGAGUUACUGGGCGUAAAGGGCGUGUAGGCUGAUAUCUUAGUCGAUUGUGAAAUCCCUGGGCUUAACCUAGGAAUUGCAGUCGAUACUGGAUGUCUUGAGUAUGGUAGAGGAAGGUGGAAUUCUCGGUGUAGUGGUUAAAUACGUAGAUAUCGAGAAGAACAUCGGUGGCGAAGGCGGCCUUCUGGACCAAUACUGACGCUGAGGCGCGAAAGCGUGGGGAGCAAACAG